ACAAAAUAUCGGAUAAUUACGAAGUGCGGUCAUUAAUAUUCACCUGAUCCUUCUCUCCUUGUAUCUGACCGUCACAGCAUUUUUGCAUCUGGAGAAAAUAUUUACGUCAUCUUCGACGAGACUUCGCGGGAACUAGAUAUCAUUAGUUUUCAAAUUCAACAGCUACACGGUCCUGUAUACUUCAAAACCUUUGACGGUCGCAAUAAUAGGCAUGCAUGAUGGACCUUGACUUCUCGGACUGCACAAGUCUUCACGAGGGCGAGUUGGACGCAGAUUUGAUCUCCGCCACCCUCGAGGCGAUUAAGACUGGGAAACUCACACCCCUGCUCAAAACAGAACUCAAAUGCAGAAUUCAGAAGAAAUGUUUUGAGGAGGGGAAAGAUUUAACACUGGACGAUGAACCACAGUUGGUUCAAAGAAAAGCUCCGCUGCUGCCAUUUGAGGUGGAAAGACAAGAACGAAGACGUGAACAAAACCGGAGGGCCGCCAAAAACUUUCGACAGCGGAAACGACAGGCAUCGGGAGAAAUACACAAGGUUCCCACAGUUUUGAUUUAUAAAAUUUCUUUAUCACCCGCUUGUUGUUAAAUUAAAAAAAAAAAGAAAUAGUUACAAGUGCAGUAGAUGUAAGUUUCCGGGUGAGAAGAAAGCCCAUUAGCUGUAGGCUUUUUAUAUAACCAUCUAUUUUUAAAAUACUUCAGAUAAGAUUAAUACCACAAAUGAUAUGCAUAAAUACUCUACAGCAAUAGUCAAAGCAAAUAUAAUAAAGUUUACUUACAUUGAUAAACUGAGCAAUUAUUUCCCCAUAAACGACAAAAUAAUUAAUCCAAACAAUGAACGCGAGGAGAGAAAAAAAAGAGGAGAAAAAUAAUUUUCCCCUAGACCGCACUCCUAAUGAGAGUGUCACUUCUGUGAGGAAGACGACCAACUGCCGAAAACACUGAGAAUGGAGGGAUCUAAAAACCUGAUGACUAACAAACAGGACGACGCACUGAUUCACCCACAGCAACUUAAACAGACAACAUCGGGAGUGUCCAAACCACAGAACUCUCACCCCGGCUCAAUUGACCGAGAUAUUAGAUUGAUACAUUGUCCUAUUUAUCUCAACUGUUAAUCCUAGAUAGACAUUCGAUACAAUUAAAUGUAAAUUUUAUUAUUGUUAAGAGAGAUUUUUUAAAAAUUGAAAAAAAAAUCCAUCAAUCGAUGUUCAAUUAAAUGUCACUGGUUUUUUUCUUCCUGUUAGUUUUUAUUGGUCACCUAAAAUAUUAAUUUGUGGGAUAUCGGAUGUUGAUACAUAUCCCGUAUAUUGUAUCACGAUAGUAAACCACAAACAACAAUAAACACAUUAUGCUUUAAACAUUAAAAUACAGAUCAAGUUGGCGGCCUCUAAUGUAGUCUUUAAAUAUAAGAACAUUCACUGCAUGUUAAAACCAAUAUUUUUUGUUGAAAAAAAAAUACUCAAAAUUGAACAAAAUUUAAAUUGAUUGAAGAUUCUCGUGGAUUUGGAGGAAAAGAAUCGUCAGCUAAAAGAAGAAAUUAAGAGACUGUUGACAGAGACCGACAUGUUCCGAACGGCGCUGUCCAGUCACCUAUGUGUGUCACCGACCGAGCCCGACCCCACGGCCGAGCCUCUCCCUCGGGCCCAGGAUACCGCCUCACACUGACCACAGUGACUGCAUGUUAACUUGUUACAUGUAUUUCUUUCAUUUCAUUUCAUUAUAUCCUCUUUCAAAUGCAACAUCAAAAUACACAUACAAAAAUAUUUUGAUAUAUAAAUGGAAAAACCAAACAAAACAAGAAAAAAAAUCAACAAAAAAAUAAUAAAAAAAACAAAACCCAAAGUAUGGUGACUACAUUCUAUUAACACAAUGAUGUCGGAAAUUUUACUUCUUUUUAACGUCCUUAUUUUCUUAGCUUUAAACUUUGUUUGAAUGCACUCCAUGCUCUUAUAUAACAUAAAUUCCUCUAUUCAACCCCAUGUAUGUAUGUAAAUUCGACAAGUAGUCGAUACCAUUAAAACUAUUUGAACUUAACAACCAAUAUCUUACCUCUGAUGUUUUCUAUUCUCUGUACAAGACAAAAAUCUUUCAUUGAACCCCAUCAUCAUUGUUGUUUUUGUCCUAAAAGACAAAAUUUGUCUCUAAUCAAAUGGCCAUUGACGAUAAUUUGAUCUCAGUUUUAUAUUUUGUACAUUGUCAUAAUAAAUUCAGAAUUGUCUUUUGUAUAAAAUUAGUAGUAUAGAUAAAAUUGUUGCCCUUAUUGUUGUGCAAAAAAUGUUCUUGUAAAUAAAGUUGACUGCACUAUCAGAGAUCCAUGUACAUACAACUUAGAUUUAUAAAGCUACAACCAUGGUGAUUAGAUAUUGUAAUGGGUAAAAAGUAAAUAAACUUUUAUAUUGCUUUACCAUUAUUCACAACUUUAUCCAUAUUGUUUUGGUUGGUGAAUACAAAUCUGGGCGACAUGUUUUGUUUUUGCUCAGGGGUAAUCCUCAUUAUUUCGAUGGACUAUGUGUUCUGAGGAGUACCGAUUUUGUGUUAUUUGUUUGUCCAGAAAGAAGGCAUAUCCAUUACAUUUGACGACAGGGUUCAUAUUUUGUUAUCUUCCCUUUGUUCCAGAUAACGCACAGUGUUUAUGUAUUGUGUAUUGCUCCAUGUUCUGAAGUAUUAAUAUUUUGCUGUUUUGUAAAUAAAAUGUUCUAUAC
rnacentral:misc_RNA from 1 species